ACGUGAUCUGAGUUCAGACCGGAGAAAUCCAGGUCAGUUUCUAUCUAUAAAGAGUCUUCUCUAGUACGAAAGGACCGAAAAGACAAGGCCCAUAUUUCAACAAGCCUUACUUACUAACCUAUGCAUCAAACUUAAUAGUUUAACUGGCUUUUACAAAAUUCAAGAUAAGAAAA
rnacentral:rRNA from 1 species